CCUGUGCAGGGAUGGGCCAGCCUGAGGCAGAUGAGCUGCAGCCCCGCAGGGUCCCUUCUUCAGCAAGGAGGAUAGGGUGACAGCUGGGUCGUCUCUGCAGGACCGAAUGUGCCCUGCUGCAGAUCAUGAGAACUGAUUGAACUAGGUUCUGAGGGUGAGGAUCAAGAGCCAGCCCAUGAACCUCUGACUCGGUGAGUGAAGCUUCCGGCAGAACAUCCGGCCUGGCAUCCGAGGCGGCACUUAUCUGAAGCCUCUUAUAUGAGGAGGAUCUCAAAAGAAGCAGGGAGAGAGCCUUGGGAGAGGAACCUGGUGCCAGCCCUGGAUACAGAGAUGGAGUCGUGACGGUGUCGGGCCAGCCUGAGAAAUAGCAGGAGACCUGACAUGGCCUAGGGUGGGGCUCUAGGUGCUUGAUGAAAGUGAGAUGGAAGGAGUGCACCGUGGUGACUGCGGAGUCCUCAAAGCCACUGCGACCCUCACCUUUACCUCCUGUCAGCUGGUGAGCUUGGUAGCACAGAGGAAUGGAUGUUUCUUGACAACCCAGUCUAGUCAUAUGGCAAAAUAAACGAAAAAACAGCACCCAUGUCCAAGUGAGUUUUCUGCUUGUCUUGAUAGAAUUAAUUAUGGUUGGAAGCCAGGCAUGGUGGUGCAUGCCUGUAGGCCUGGGCAAGAUGGCAAGACCCCAUCUCUACAAAAAUAAAGAAUAAAAAACAUCAGCUGGGUGCAGCAGUGCAUUUCUGUGGUCCCUGCUACUGGGGAGGCUGAGGUGGUAGGAUCUGUUGAGUCCAGGAGCUUGAGGCGGCAGUGAGCCACAAUGAUUGCAUCACUGCAUUCCAGCCUGGGGGACAAAGCCGGAACCUAUCUCUUAAAUUUUUUUUUCUCGAGGUUCUGGAGGCUGGGAAGUCCAAGAUUAAGUGCUGGCAGAUUCAGUGUCUGGUGAGGGCUGCUUCCUGGUUCAUAGAGGUGACUUCUUGCUGAGAUCUCGGAUGGUGGGCGGGGCUUGGCAGCUCUGGAGCCUCUUAUAAGGGCACUAAUCCUGUUCAUAAGGGCGUCAACCUCAUGACCUGAUCACCUCCCAAAAAUCCCACCUCCUAACACUAUCACCUCUGAGGCUAUAGAUUUUGUUGGAGACAGAAA
rnacentral:lncRNA from 10 species